GAGGUUGUGCCCUUGAGGCGUGGCUUCCGGAGCUAACGCGUUAAGUCGACCGCCUGGGGAGUACGGCCGCAAGGUUAAAACUCAAAUGAAUUGACGGGGGCCCGCACAAGCGGUGGAGCAUGUGGUUUAAUUCGAUGCAACGCGAAGAACCUUACCUGGUCUUGACAUCCACGGAAGUUUUCAGAGAUGAGAAUGUGCCUUCGGGAACCGUGAGACAGGUGCUGCAUGGCUGUCGUCAGCUCGUGUUGUGAAAUGUUGGGUUAAGUCCCGCAACGAGCGCAACCCUUAUCCUUUGUUGCCAGCGGUCCGGCCGGGAACUCAAAGGAGACUGCCAGUGAUAAACUGGAGGAAGGUGGGGAUGACGUCAAGUCAUCAUGGCCCUUACGACCAGGGCUACACACGUGCUACAAUGGCGCA
rnacentral:rRNA from 1 species